UAGAUUGAAGCCAGGUGUUUAGGGUGUUUAGCUGUUAACUAAAAGUUCAUGGGGUUAGAGCCCAUCAAUCUAG
rnacentral:tRNA from 1 species